UCCUACGGGGGCAGCAGUAGGGAAUUUUCGUCAAUGGGCGCAAGCCUGAACGAGCAAUGCCGCGUGAACGAGGAAGGUCUUCGGAUCGUAAAGUUCUGUUGCAGGGGAAAAAGAGCGGAGAGAGGAAAUGGUCUCCGAUUGAUAUUACCCUUCGAGGAAGUCACGGCUAACUACGUGCCAGCAGCCGCGGUAAUACGUAGGUGGCGAGCGUUAUCCGGAAUGAUUGGGCGUAAAGGGCGCGUAGGCGGCCUGCUAAGUCUGGAGUGAAAGGUACCGGCUCAACCGGUACAGGCUCUGGAAACUGG
rnacentral:rRNA from 1 species